rnacentral:rRNA from 1 species
UGCGGGGGUGCAAGCGUUGUUCGGAGUUACUGGGCGUAAAGCGCGCGUAGGCGGUUUGCUAAGUCAGAUGUGAAAGCCCAUGGCUCAACCAUGGACGUGCAUUUGAAACUGGCAGACUUGAGUAUUGGAGGGGGUGGUGGAAUUCCCCGGUGUAGAGGUGAAAUUCGUAGAUAUCGGGAGGAAUACCGGUGGCGAAGGCGACUUUCUGGACGAAUACUGACGCUGAGGCGCG